rnacentral:rRNA from 1 species
GAUGAACGCUAGCGGCAGGCUUAACACAUGCAAGUCGAGGGGCAGCGCGGGAUAGCAAUAUCCUGGCGGCGACCGGCGGAAGGGUGCGUAACGCGUGAGCGACAUGCCCGUUGCCCGGGGACAACCGGUGGAAACGCCGACUAAUCCCCGAUGGGAUAUUGUGCCGCAUGGCACGAUAUUGAAAGUUACGGCGGCGACGGAUUGGCUCGCGUCCGAUUAGCUGGUUGGCGGGGUAACGGCCCACCAAGGCUGCGAUCGGUAGGGGUUCUGAGAGGAAGGCCCCCCACAAGGGGACUGAGACACGGCCCAUACUCCGACGGGAGGCAGCAGUGAGGAAGAUUGGUCAAUGGGCGGAAGCCUGAACCAGCCAUGCCGCGUGCGGGAAGGAGGCCCUAUGGGCUGUGAACCGCUUUUGCCUGGGGGCAAUAAGGGCGUCGCGCACGUCCGAUGAGAGUACCAGGAGAAUAAGCAUCGGCUAACUCCGUG